CCUACAGAACAAUCACUGAAAGUAAUCAUUCUAAUUUGAGAAGUUUCAGUCAUUCCAUACAUUAUUUGCAUUAUGCAGGUUAUCUUUUAAUAAUAUCAAUGAUGAUGAAUAAUUAUGUAACUUUGCAAAAACAAAUAAACAAACAAAACAAGCCAAAAAGAUUCCUCAUCCUUGAAUCAAUUCAAUAUAUGCCUUUGUUUGUUCUUGUUUUUUCCCUGUCACAUUAGCACAUGGUGUAGCCCUAAUCAUAGUUCAGCUGUCUAAAAGUAGUAUACUAUUGUUUUCCUAAUUAAAACAAACAUUGAUAUCUAUUAAUGUCAAAUACAAGUUUUCUUUUGUGGCAGCUUGUAAACUGACGUCACAUUGGUUCCUUGAAGUGGAGCUGAAUAAACCUUGAGAAGAGUCUCCUUCAAUCUGCUGUUAGUAACUAACACACACACUCACUCACACCGAGACUCAAUUACUGCCCAAUUCCUUUCUUUAUCAUCUGUUACCGGCCUCUUUCAAAACGAAAUCGAAAAGGAAAAGAGACUAGAAGGCUACACUAAGUAUUACUUGAAACAAAAUCGCGUUGGAAAUAAGUAUUAGUAUCGAAACUAAAGGUGUUAGAGCAGUAAUGUAACAGAGCUGAAGACAUUUCCUAUCAGACACAGAGGAGGAACCAGCGAGGAGAGGUCUAGAUUGACAGUGUAAAGGAGGAAUCUCAGAAUCGCCACCCUCUGUCCUUGAUGCUACAGUGAUAAGUACCCUGGAAAACGCACACGCAUACACACACACACACACACACACACACGCACAAACGCCACACAGCAGUAAGUGCAGUACAGUGUGGAGGCAACACUUUUAUUUACAGUGCCUCAAACAAAUAAUUACACAAACACAAGGUUGAUAGGUAACUAUUUGAAUUUGCUGUUGGCUGUUGUUCCCUGGAAUAUCACACUUACUGAGUAAUCAAUAGGUGCUGUCAUUACUCUUUAUUAUACUGUGUGUGUGUGUGUGUGUGUGUGUGUGUGUGUGUGUGUGUAUGUAGGGGGGGGGCCACUGCAUAUUUGUCCCAAGGUGUAGAGGAGAGGCUGUUCUAAGAGUGUUAACCACAGCUUCUCCAUCAUCCCUUCAUCGGCCAUGUUUAGAGAGGGUUCAUUUAUCUCUCUGUGUUGGAGCAGGGCCUGAGACAGCUGGAGACAGAUGUGGAGCCCCUCCCAAUCCCUGUGUGGAUUGGCCUUUCUUUCACACCUCCACUAAACAACCAGCGUCACCGUCACCAUUAACCACCAGCUCCACUAAACAACCAGCGUCGCCAGUAACCACCGCUGCUGCUGCUGCUGCUGCUGUUAGUAGGAGACAGACACUUAACAAGGCCUUUAUUGUACUGCCUGAGAGACACUGUACCCACUUCUCAACCACAGUAUAGCCUAAAGAAAGGAAUGUGUAACUAAAUAACCUUGAAGUUAUGACGGUGAUGACGAUGACGUUUAUUAUGACUAUCAUGACGGUGACGAUGAUUAUGACGAUUUUAGUGAUGGUAUAUUAUGCUGAUUUUAGUGAUGGUAAUCAUGAUACUUUUGGUAGGUCUCUUACUAAUAUAAUAAUCUUGUUUACUGGAAAAUCAGAGAGCAGAUUUCAACUAGCCACAGAGCGGCUCUUUAGGUGUAGUUAUCUAUUGUCUGUCUGUGACUGUGUGUCUGGUGUUCUGUGGUAGCAGAUGUCCAAUGUGCGAGGCAGAUUUACAGACUGUGGGUCUGUCUGUGUGUGUGUGUGUGUGUGUGUGUGUGUGCGUGUGUGUGUAUUUAAUAUUUAUUAGGA